GGCUUAGAGUUUGAUCAUGGCUCAGGAUGAACGCUGGCGGCGUGCCUAACACAUGCAAGUCGAGCGAAGCGCUUAAAUUGGAUUUCUUCGGAAUGACGAUUUUUGUGACUGAGCGGCGGACGGGUGAGUAACGCGUGGGUAACCUGCCUCAUACAGGGGGAUAACAGUUAGAAAUGACUGCUAAUACCGCAUAAGACCCCAGCUUCGCAUGAAGCGGUGGUAAAAACUCCGGUGGUAUGAGAUGGACCCGCGUCUGAUUAGCUAGUUGGUAAGGUAACGGCUUACCAAGGCGACGAUCAGUAGCCGACCUGAGAGGGUGACCGGCCACAUUGGGACUGAGACACGGCCCAGACUCCUACGGGAGGCAGCAGUGGGGAAUAUUGCACAAUGGGGGAAACCCUGAUGCAGCGACGCCGCGUGAAGGAUGAAGUAUUUCGGUAUGUAAACUUCUAUCAGCAGGGAAGAAAGUGACGGUACCUGACUAAGAAGCCCCGGCUAACUACGUGCCAGCAGCCGCGGUAAUACGUAGGGGGCAAGCGUUAUCCGGAUUUACUGGGUGUAAAGGGAGCGUAGACGGGAUAGCAAGUCUGAAGUGAAAGCCCGGGGCUCAACCCCGGGACUGCUUUGGAAACUGUUGACCUGGAGUGCUGGAGAGGCAAGUG
rnacentral:rRNA from 1 species